UACAGAGGGUGCGAGCGUUGUCCGGAAUCACUGGGCGUAACGGGCGCGUAGGUGGCGGGAUAAGUGUGUGGUGAAAGCUCGGGGCUCAACCCCGAGUCUGCCAUGCAGACUGUCUUGCUUGAGCGUAGUAGAGGCAGGUGGAAUUCCGGGUGGAGCGGUGGAAUGCGUAGAGAUCCGGAAGAACAGCGGUGGCGAAGGCGGCCUGCUGGGCUACUGCUGACACUGAGGCGCGACAGCGUGGGAAGCAAACAGG
rnacentral:rRNA from 1 species